AUACUUCCUUGCACGGGAUACCUGAUCAUGAAGGGGGUUUUCCCCAAGGCGAGGCUCACCAUUCACUCCGUUGGCGCUGACCCUUGCGUUAACCCAAAAAGUGGUUACUCAGUGCGCAAUUUUUUUUAGUGGGGGACUGCGUUCGGCUAUCCCCCU